CCUCUCGUAGUUUACUGGUAGAACAUUACUACGUAAAGCCAAAGGUCCCGGGUCCGAUUCCCGGCGGGGGUG
rnacentral:tRNA from 1 species